AACGAACGCUGGCGGCAGGCUUAACACAUGCAAGUCGAACGCACCUUUCGGGGUGAGUGGCUGACGGGUGCGUAACGCGUGGGAAUCUACCCUUCUCUACGGGAUCUCUCCGGGAAACUGGAAUAAAUACCGUAUACGUCCUGAGGUAGCACGAUUUAUCGGGGAAGGAUGAGCCCGCGUUGGAUUAGCUAGUUGGUGCGGUAAAGGCCUACCUAGGCGACGAUCCAUAGCUGGUCUAAGAGGAUGAUCAGGCACAUUGGGACUGAGACACGGCGCGAACUACUACGGGAGGCAGCAAGGGGGAAGGUUGGACGAUGGGCGCAAGCCGGAGGCAGCCAUGCCGCGAGAGUGAUAAAGGCCGGAGGGUAGUAAAGCUCUUGCAGAGGGGGCAGGAUUGACGGUACCCACAGAAGAAGCCACGGCUAACUUCGUG
rnacentral:rRNA from 1 species